AGCAGCAGCCAUAUCACCCUGCAACUGGUAGCCCACUGAAGCUAAGUAGGUGUGAGCCUGGUCAGUACCUGGAUGAGAGACCUCCUGGGAAAAACUAAGGUUGCUGCUGGAA
rnacentral:rRNA from 1 species